rnacentral:rRNA from 1 species
UACGUAGGGGGCAAGCGUUGUUCGGAAUUACUGGGCGUAAAGCGCGCGCAGGCGGUUUCUUAAGUCUGAUGUGAAAGCCCACGGCUCAACCGUGGAGGGUCAUUGGAAACUGGGGAACUUGAGUGCAGAAGAGGAAAGUGGAAUUCCAAGUGUAGCGGUGAAAUGCGUAGAGAUUUGGAGGAACACCAGUGGCGAAGGCGACUUUCUGGUUUGUAACUGACGCUGAGGCGCGAAAGCGUGGGGAGCGAACAGG